rnacentral:rRNA from 1 species
GCCAGCAGCCAUAUCACCCUGCAACUCACAACUGGCAGCCUACUGAAGCUAAGCAGGUGUGAGCCUGGUAUGUACAGUAUGUGGAUGGGAGACUUCCUAGGAAAAACUAAGGUUGCUGCUGGAA